AGUUCUCAGGCGAGAGCCGCGGCUGACAGGGUCUGGGACAGAAGGAAAGCCCUCCAGAGACACCGCCUGUUCACAAGAGUUUGAAGAAGUCCACUCUUUUCCUGGCCAGAGCUGGGUGUCAAGACUACCUUUCUGGAGUCCUUAGAGAGACUCCCGGAAGAGUAUCUGAAGUUUCCCAAAGCCUCCAGGCCCUGCCUUCUGCCUGCACAUUCUGCCCUGAUUUCCGGAACCUGGAAGCCUAGGCAGGCAGUGGGGAACUCUGACUCGCCUGUGCUCUGGAGCUUGAUCCGAAAGCUUCCACAGUGAGGACUGCUCCGUGGGGGUAAGAGAGCACCAGGCACUGAGGCCUGGGAGUUCCACAGACCAACACCCCUGCUCCUGGCGGCUCCCACCCGGGACUUAGACCCUCAGGUCCCUAAUAUCCCGGAGGUGCUCUCAAUCAGAAAGGUCCUGCUCCGCUUCGCAGUGGAAUGGAACGGAUUUAGAAGCCUGCAGUAGGGGAGUGGGGAGUGGAGAGAGGGAGCCCAGAGUUACAGACGGCGGCGAGAGGCCCCAAAGAGUCUGAUGUUUACAAGACCAGAAAUGCCACGGCCGCGUCCUGGCAGAGAAAAGGCUGAAAUGGAGGACCGGCGCCUUCCUUAUAAGCUCGUUGGGGCCUAAGCCAGUACCGACCUGGUAGAAAAAGCAACCACGAAGCUAGAGAGAGAGCCAGAGGAGGGAAGAGAGCGCCAGACGAAGGUGAAAGCGAACCACGCAGAGAAAUGCAGGCAAGGGAGCAAGGCGGCAGUUCCCGGAACAAACGUGGCAGAGGGCAAGACGGGCACUCACAGACAGAGGUUUAUGUAUUUUUAUUUUUUAAAAUCUGAUUUGGUGUUCCAUGAGGAAAAGGGAAAAUCUAGGGAACGGGAGUACAGAGAGAAUAAUCCGGGUCCUAGCUCGCCACAUGAACGCCCAGAGAACGCUGGAAAAACCUGAGCGGGUGCCGGGGCAGCACCCGGCUCGGGUCAGCCACUGCCCCACACCGGGCCCACCAAGCCCCGCCCCUCGCGGCCACCGGGGCUUCCUUGCUCUUCUUAUCAUCUCCAUCUUUAUGAUGAGGCUUGUUAACAAGACCAGAGAGCUGGCCAAGCACCUCUAUCUCAGCCGCGCCCGCUCAGCCGAGCAGCGGUCGGUGGGGGGACUGGGAGGCGCUAAUUAAUUGAUUCCUUUGGACUGUAAAAUAUGGCGGCGUCUACACGGAACCCAUGGACUCAUAAACAAUAUAUCUGUUGGGCGUGAGUGCACUGUCUCUCAAAUAAUUUUUCCAUAGGCAAAUGUCAGAGGGUUCUGGAUUUUUAGUUGCUAAGGAAAGAUCCAAAUGGGACCAAUUUUAGGAGGCCCAAACAGAGUCCGUUCAGUGUCAGAAAAUGCUUCCCCAAAGGGGUUGGGAGUGUGUUUUGUUGGAAAAAAGCUUGGGUUAUAGGAAAGCCUUUCCCUGCUACUUGUGUAGACCCAGCCCAAUUUAAGAAUUACAAGGAAGCGAAGGGGUUGUGUAGGCCGGAAGCCUCUCUGUCCCGGCUGGAUGCAGGGGACUUGAGCUGCUCCGGAAUUUGAGAGGAACAUAGAAGCAAAGGUCCAGCCUUUGCUUCGUGCUGAUUCCUAGACUUAAGAUUCAAAAACAAAUUUUUAAAAGUGAAACCAGCCCUAGCCUUUGGAAGCUCUUGAAGGUUCAGCACCCACCCAGGAAUCCACCUGCCUGUUACACGCCUCUCCAAGACACAGUGGCACCGCUUUUCUAACUGGCAGCACAGAGCAACUCUAUAAUAUGCUUAUAUUAGGUCUAGAAGAAUGCAUCUUGAGACACAUGGGUAACCUAAUUAUAUAAUGCUUGUUCCAUACAGGAGUGAUUAUGCAGUGGGACCCUGCUGCAAACGGGACUUUGCACUCUAAAUAUAGACCCCAGCUUGGGACAAAAGUUGCAGUAGAAAAAUAGACAUAGGAGAACACUUAAAUAAGUGAUGCAUGUAGACACAGAAGGGGUAUUUAAAAGACAGAAAUAAUAGAAGUACAGAAGAACAGAAAAAAAAUCAGCAGAUGGAGAUUACCAUUCCCAAUGCCUGAACUUCCUCCUGCUAUUAAGAUUGCUAGAGAAUUGUGUCUUAAACAGUUCAUGAACCCAGAAGAAUGCAAUUUCAAUGUAUUUAGUACACACACAGUAUGUAUAUAAACACAACUCACAGAAUAUAUUUUCCAUACAUUGGGUAGGUAUGCACUUUGUGUAUAUAUAAUAAUGUAUUUUCCAUGCAGUUUUAAAAUGUAGAUAUAUUAAUAUCUGGAUGCAUUUUCUGUGCACUGGUUUUAUAUGCCUUAUGGAGUAUAUACUCACAUGUAGCUAAAUAGACUCAGGACUGCACAUUCCUUGUGUAGGUUGUGUGUGUGUGGUGGUUUUAUGCAUAAAUAAAGUUUUACAUGUGGUGAA
rnacentral:lncRNA from 1 species